rnacentral:tRNA from 1 species
GCCUGGGUGGCUCAGUCGGUAGAGCGUCCGACUUCAGCUCGGGUCGUGAUCUCCCUUUGUGGGCUCGAGCCCCGCGUCGGGCU